CAUAGAUAGUGAGGACAUAAGUAGAUGGUGAGGAGGGCAUAGAUGGUGAGGACAUAAGUGGUGAGGAGGGCAUAGAUGGUGAGGAGGUCAUAGAUGGUGAGGACAUAGAUAGUGAGGAGGGUAUAGAUGGUGAGGAGGACAAACAUGGUGAGGAGGUCAUAGAUGGUGAGGAGGGCAUAGAUGGUGAGGGCAUAGAUGGUGAGGACAUAGAUGGUGAGGAGGUCAUAGAUGGUGAGGUCAUAGAGGGUGAGAACAUAGAUGAUGAGGAGGUCAUAGAUGGUGAGGACAUAAAUGGUGAGGAGGGCAUAGAUGGUGAGGACACAGAUGGUGAGGAGGCCGAUAGUGAGGAGUCUGAUGGUGAGAGCAAUGAGACCCACGGCCUCCAGCUGGCUGUGAGCCAGAAAUGGUCUUUGGCCCCGCGCAGGCGCAAUCAGCUGGAGAUGGAGGCCAGCGGCUGCUCAACAGGUAGGACACCACAUCGCAGCACAGCGUCCCGCAGGCCCGGGUCCUUCUGCCACUCUGUGAGGGGUCGAGGCCGUUUCUUCACUGCUUCUCCACUGCAAACUCCGUGUGACACAGCUCGCAGUGGGUGGUGGUAGACGAGGAAAGCAACCUCUCCAGACACUCCUGUGAGCGGCGCCCAACAUACGGGUGCAGCCACAUGGGGACAGGAAGUACUGCCCGUUCGCGCCCUCAUGGCAGAUCGGGCAGAAGGCACCAUGGCUCGGUGUGUCCAAGGCACGGAUGAUGGUGGAGAGGAGCCGGCCAUCCCGUCAAGUCACCUAUGCCACAUAAUAGGGCGGUCCAAGGACCGUGGCCUCCAUGACCUUGGAGAAGGCAGGGCUGCCAGAGCAGUCACCCAGGGAGCUGGGGAGGUGGCAGCAGUCACCUGUCCUCAUGGCCACAGGGAGCCCAGUAUCCUCAGGGGUCGAGGCCCGUGGUCCCCCGAGCCUGAUCCGAGGCCAGGCCGGGCCAGGCGCCCCCGCCAGCCUCUCGGUUCGCCCCAGCCCUGCUCCCAGUCCCGCCCAGCCCAGCUCGACCUGGUCGCCUCCACCCGGUAAGGGGAAUUGCAGUAACAGGAAUUGCGGGAGUCGCCUGGGAGGGAGACAGCGCUGCAUCCCAGCAGGACUUCUCAUGGACAAGGCAGAUCUAAGCAAGGUGGGCACAACACAGCCAUGGGAACCACAGGUAAUGCAGCAACAGGGUGGGAAGCUCUCUGUCAGCCACCUGACACAAAUAUUUUGUAAAGGAACAAUAGAACUUAUUAGCAGAGGGACUGAUGUGGUUUGGCUCUGUCCCCACCCAAAUCUCAACUUGAAUUGUAGCUCCCAGAAUUCCCACAUGUUUGGGGAGGCACCCAGGGGGAGGUAAUUGAAUCAUGGGAGCCAGUCUUUCCCAUGCUAUUUUCAUGAUAAUGAAUAAGUCUCACAAGAUCUGAUGAGUUUAUCAGGAGUUUCUACUUUUACUUCUUCCUCCUUUAUGUCUUGUGCCUGCCAUGUGAGAAGUGCCUUUCACUCCCCGCUAUGACUCUGAGGCCUCCCCAGCCAUGUGGAGCUGCAUUCAACAAACCAUUCCUCUUGAAAGGAUUGGGCCGGGAUUGUGAAAAUUACACUGAGAAACUGCAUGAGAAUACAAAUUGCCAAGAAGAGCCGAAUAUCCAGAAUAUAUAAAUAUCUCCCAUGAGCAAAUAAGAAAAAAUCAAAAGAGAAAAUGAAAAUGGGAAAAGGACAUCAACAGGCAAUAUACAGAAGAGAAAAAUCUAAAUUGCCAAAUAUAUAAAAAGAUCCACCCAACUGGUUAUCAGGAAAGUAAAAAAUAAGUUGAAAUGCAAUUUUAUACUCAUAAGGUAAGUAAGUACUUAAUUCUGGAAAUACCAAAUGAGGACCAGAACAUGGAGUGGUGAAAACUCCACACCCUGUUUAUAGGUUAAUGGGAGAAUUGAUUGGUACCAUCACAUCAGGAAGUCAUUUGGCAAGAUGUAAUAAAGCUGAAGACUUUGUUGCCCAAGACUCCACCUCCAGGUACAGACCCUAAAGAAGUUCCAAACACAGGUGCACAAGGAGACAUGGGUAAGAAUGUUCUUUUUAACACUUUAAUAGGGAAACUAUUAGAAACAAAUAUACCUCAAUAUACAAUUGGGAAUAGAUACAUUAUGGCAUACUGAUACAGUGGCAAAAUAAAGAACAUUUAAAAUUAAUUAACGACGUCUAUGUGUAUUUACGUGGCUAGGUCUCCAAAACAUGAUAAGAGAGAGAAAUAGUGUGAAAACAUAGAAACCGUACAGUAGGAUACUCUUUUUAUAAUUUUUUUAAAAACCCAAACCAAUACCAUAUGUUAUCUUAAUUUUAUACAUAACUAUAGCAAAGAUGAAGAAAGAAUGUGGUUUUAGUUUUGCAGUGAAGGUAGUAAAACACUGAUGUAAAUAUUACAUACCUAAUUCAAGAUAAGGAUUGCCUCUUGGUGGGAAGGAUGAGAAAUUCAAUGGCUCAGUCGGAGGUGGAACAGGACUGUGGUGAGACUUCAAUUGUCACUCUGUUUUUAUUUUAUUUAAAAUGUAUGUGGCAAAAUGUUAUAUUUCUGCCUGUAUGCUUCUACAUGCUUUAAAGAUUUUAUUGUCAAAUUUAAUUGACAAAAGUAUUUUCGUUUUAAUUAACAUAAUUUAUCUUAUAUUCAUUAAAAACUCAGGAUGCCAUGCAGAUGUGAAUCAAAGCAAUAUGAGGAUGAUUGUGGGGGGAAAGAGAUUAAAUGUUUUUAAAGUUUGUAAGCAAUUUUACAGAGUAACCUGAAAGACUCUUGGAUUGCUUUGCUUCUUAGUGAUUUUCGUUUCCAGAGAGGAUUUUUCUAGAUUCAUAUUAGCUGUAUAUAAAAUCUCCCAAAUUGUUCUUUGAUUACUGUUUCAUAGAUAGAUAUGAUAGAUAGAUAGAUGAUAGAUUGAUUGAUGGAUGGAUGGAUGGGAUGGAAAAAUAUGAGUAAUUGAUAGAUAUGACUGAUAGAAGAUAGAUUGAUCUCAGAUAUAGAUAGAUAGAUAGAUAGAUAGAUAGAUAGAUAGAUAGAUAGAUGAUAGGUAGAAUAACCUGUUGCACAGUUCUUACUCUCUAAUGUGUGGUUUUCUCUCCUAACAAUUUAUAAGAUUUUGGAUUUCGGUCAUAAAGUGUGGGAUAGGAAAGAGAUUGGAGAGAAAAGGAGAAAGCCUUUUCCCAAGACUUUCUUUUUAAUCAGCGGUUUUCCAUAAGUUUGCCCUCACUUACAAUUUUCUUUCAAUGUCACCCUCAACAUGCUGAAUUAUAAUACCAUUAUCAAGUAGAGAGGGGGCCAGAAUGACUUUUGAGGUUUUCUUUUCAAACCCUGAGACUUGGAAUCUACAUACUCAGCGUCCUUCUCAAACUCGGGAUUGUCUGAUCCAAAGGGGCUGCUGCUGCAGGAAUAAUCACCGUUACACAGAAUCCAGAUGGAAUCUUCCAGGGCUUGACUGGAAGGAAUUGUCUUUGGUGGCUAAUUAUUCAUCAACAACUGAUUAAACUUCCUGAAUAAAGCUCAUUUGUUCACAAGCACAUACUGGACACUGCUGCUCCCCAGAGCUGACUCUCAUCAGGAGAGAGAACCAGUGAGCGGACAGACCCAGGGCAAGCCCCAUGCCCCAGCUUAUAUGCCUUGUUCUGGCCUUUCUCCCUUAUCCUCUCUCUGCCCCUACCGAGUACCAGCUCCGUUGGGAGACCCCACCCAGGCAGCGCUGAAGGUAAUGAGAGGCAAACCCCAGACAGAACAGCAGAGUGGAUCUAUCAUGGGGGCCAACAGCUUGAGAGCCUCAGGGGCUGACAGCAUUCCAGGCUGAAGGCCCCGAGCAGAUUCUGAUCAGCGAGCAUAUUUAUUCUUCUUAACAGGUGAUUGUUAUUAAUAAACAGGUGUUCUAUAUUUACUCAUAACUCACAACUAUACCAAGUAGGCAGCUGUUACCCACCUACCACUAAUUACAAACUAAAAGGUAUUCUCCACAAAGGAGCCACGGGGGCAGGGCAAACUUAAUGUUUCUCAACAUGCCCAGAUGUCUGACCUCUCCCACUUACACAGCCACAUUCGGCUCUCUCCAGCCCCAGAGCCCUCAAACCACCACUGCUGAGGGGCUGAAGGCUGCUUUGGUCACAGGUAAGCAACCAUUUCACCCUCAGAGAGCUGGCCCUGGCUCCCCUGUGACGGUGUCUUUCCACACUCUGCCUCUGUCCCCAUAGUCCUGUAUUCAGCACCCACUUUUCCCAGUAGUUAUGCCUCUGCUUUGCUCAGCUCUCCAACCCCAGGACCCCAGCUGCCAAGCCCUGUGCCCAGCACACAGCAAAUAUUCCACUCACAUCUUCUGAAUGAACUCUCUUACAUUAUCUCAAGGCAGGCUGUCCUAGGUGCAAACAAGUGGUCCAGAUCAGCAAAGGAGAUGGAAAGGCAAGAUGGGUUCAGCUGAGAGGCCCUGGAAAAGGAUUCAUUAAACUCUUUGUGAUUGGACAGUGUUAAAACAGGCUCUGAAGGUGGCUUGCUUAGAGAGAGAGAGAGACUCAAAGUCUUUUUCACUGGGAGAACAUGUACAAGGACAAGAGCUCCGACAUUUAGGACAUGAUGGCAGGAUUCCUUCUUGGAAAAUUCAACAGGCAAAGCAAGGUCAAGUCCCUUCCACCACUUUUCUCCCCUUCAGGGCGUGGAAGUCCUCUAAAAUAUGAGGUCAAAAAAGUUGGUCACAGUCUAAUAGACCGUGCGAGUGAGGCUACCAAAUGAACAAAAGAUAUGAUCACUUUCCAGGAACCACUAUUUCGGCUGCCUCCUGCUGUUGCUUAUUGGAACCCGUAGAGAGGGCCCAGGUUUGGGUUAGGCUUUAAAAAGUAAUCCGAGUGGUGAAAAGAGCCCCUUCCAUAAUCUGAGUGGUGAAAAGAGCCCCUUCCACAAUCUGAGUGGUGAAAAGAGCCCCUUCCAUAAUCUGAGUGGUGAAAAGAGCCCCUUCCAUAAUCUGAGUGGUGAAAAGAGCCCCUUCUGAACAAUUUGCUUUUCUCAUACAAUUCAGCAAUGGUGUCUACUCUGUAAAAACAGAAAAAGAAAAAAUAGACAAAGUUAACCUUCAGAACCCAACUUAUCCAUCUACAAACAUAUUAAAACUCAAACUUUCUGAGGUUAAUAAAAGAUGAUCACCCUGAAGCAUCCUUUUCAGCACAGGAUGUAACACUUAUCAUCAUGGAACGUGAAAGCAGCUGUUGGUGCCCAUCUAAUCUUGUCUUUUCUCCUGCUGCCAGAGCAGUCCCAAGUGAUUCUUAACAUAGAUGGAGAGAGUAAUUUUGACUAGAAAUGUUUCCUGAGUUCUUAAACCCCAUCUAUCAAAUCCCUUUUUGGUUAAAAAGGGGGCUGUAAUAUUAACCAACAAAUGUUCUAGUUUUCACCAUAGUGAGGAAAGAUGUUACUUGUUACCUAAAUAGCCACAUACCAAGUGGGUUAAUUCACCUCAACUCUUAGACACAGCACUUAGAGAAAUUUCCAUCACUGAACACAGAGGGCACAUGGAAUAUUAUUCCUGCCAGACUCACAACAUAGCAUGGUCACCACUCAGGCACCGGAAGGACAACUGGACUAGCUUCCCCUGACGAUGAGGAUGCUUGAAACGUUCUGUGAACUCAGGAUAUCAUCUGCACACUGACAGAAAUUGACUACAUAGUAAUCGAUUAUCCUCAGAAGUACCUAUAGCUAAGUAUCAAACUUUGCACAAAGUCGAGUCCUUUACUUAAGUUCUUAUUUUAUUUAUUUGUAUUAUUUUCCUCAUUCUAGUGUUACUUAUUUUGUUACUAUCUGUUCUUUUGCUAUUUACUUUGUGGUUACCGCAAAGGACCUCAUGUGGACUCAUCUCCAGUCAUCUGGACUCAGCUUCGUCACAAAUAAGCACUGAUGAGUUUUGUGCUGCUGCAUGGUUCGUCAGGAUUCAAAGCCAGGCAACCCUGAUGCUUUUCAUGCUUUGACCAAUGCCAGUGCUCAUGUAAUAAAGGACUUCUUUUAAUUAAAAAGAGGAUUGGUCUUUUAGGCUUCAAAUGCAUGUACCUUUAGUUCCCAUCCUAGUCAUGAGCCUUGGAGAAGACAGCAAGGCCAUCUUUAGGAGAUUUUGCAAAUAUGAUAAACUGUACAUUGGCCCAACCCAAGCAUUUUCUAGUCCUGAACAAUAUUGCUGGACAUCAGGUGGAGAAAUGAUGGUCACUGUGAAUCUUGGUUAAAUGAUCUUUGUCUCUCCAGCUUCAGUUUCCUUGCCUGUAAAAUCAAGAUAAUAAGCCUUCUUAAAGAAUUUCUUUAAGUAUUUUACAAAAGGACGUCUUUAAAAGCUCAAUGCCUGGCACCCAGAAGAUACUCAAUACUUUACCCCUCAUUCCCUUACUCCCCAGCUUCUCAAAAGAACCCUUGCCUAAGAGUCAUGAAGUGUCCAGGAAAUUCCCAACAAACCUCACAACCUAGAUGAAAGUCAAAUGAGUGUUUUUACACGUAGAGUAAAGCCACAUUUAUCCUGACUUUAAUGCAAAUGCUGUGAUCAUUUCAUCAAAGACCUUCCUUCAAAAAGAAUUGCUUCAUGAACAAGGCUAAUUACAAUGCCAAGAAUAUCAAAUGCAGGAUAUUUUAAAAUCCUGGCAGUGUUUCCCACUCAAGACCUUUACACAGUUCAAAAGCUUUGCUCACAUGUGCUGAUUGUCAAUUUCCGUUAUCCAUCCAUUAGUUCAGGUGGUGAUGGACAAGCAAUGUUAACAGGGAAGCCGGGUUAUUUGAAGACUAGUAAAAGUUCAUUUCCUCAAUAAAUUCUGUAUUUGAGAUUUGUAAUAACUUGGUCUUAUUUUCCCUAAAUUAGGCCAAAUAAACGUUUAUAUGAGAUAGCUCAGGCUUCAAGUGAAGAGCCAAGAGACCAAAAGUCACUCUCUCACCUGAGAACAACAGCACUCCUGGUACCCUGUCUCUCACCAGACAUGGGCUGAUGCUAACACACCCCUCCAUGCUCCACCUGAAUGCAAAUUUGUAUGUCACCUUCCCCAAUCCUUGACCUACUUGUGCAACCUAAUUAUUGCCUUAAACUGUUUAUUCGUGAUGUGUUUUGCCAUGCAUUUUUUCUCUUAGGCAAAACCCUCUCUGAUUUAUGGGAAGCUGAAAUCAUGUGUUUUUGGUUAUUCUUUAAAGCACCGAAAUGUUACUUUGUAGAGCUAAUUUAAUGUCCAAAAUGUUUUUCAAAGACUUUUUUCUUAGGACUAAAGUUCAAUAUUUUGCCCAGGGAAAUCAAUCCCCAGACCCAAAGGACUAAGUUUGGCUUAUGAUUGCAAGUAUCUGAGUUUGCAGGAGGCAUUCAAUUCAGCAAACUCAGUGUCACUUCCACCAGAAGAAUCCUGCAAAUCUGGUCACUGUGCCUUGUGGGGAAGUCUGCCAUGGCCUUUGGGGUGGACCACAAAGAGCUUAAAUUCAUUCCUUUGGGAAGUCUGUGUUUUGGAAGUCAUUUUGCUCACAAGACCAAUAAUCCUGAAUUUAUUUUUCCAUUCAAAUACAGCAUCUUUUGAGCAUUUCCAGGCAAUAUGUGAAAAGAUGUACUUGAAGAGAUGCCUGCUCUGCUUUGAAAUUUUAAACCUGACUAUAAAAUGUUUUUACUUAAGAGUGUUUUUGGGAGAUGUUGGUAAAAGGGUACAAAGUUUCAGUUGUGGAGGAUGGAUAAAUUAUUUUUUUAAAAGAAUGUUCUGAGAUCCCUAACUCAAAAUUGGAGAAUCCAGGGACAAUUCUUAGGCAAGUUAUGUACCUCAGAGCUGUCCAGCAGUGUCUACGUGCCUGCAGGACCCUUGCUGUCUAUGGCCUCCCUGUCUUGUUGAGCUCCCCCCACCCCACCCCACCUCCAUCAACACAGCCAACUCUCACUGAGUUUGACCAGGCACAGGAAACCACCCGGCACCAGGGAACCUAAUAGUUGGUGAACUUGGGUACUUCGUCCUUAAUCCACGCUGUGAAUAUUGUUUAUCUCACCCACAUAAACUAAUAGCCUAUCAUACAUUUGGACAUGACUUCCAAAUACAGGGAGAUUCAUUUCAGAUACAGGCAUACCUCAGAGAUAUUGCAAGUUCAGUUCUAGACCACUGCAAUACACGGAAUAUCUCAAUGAAGUCAGUCACAUGCAGUUUUUGGUUUCUUAGUGCAUAUAAAAGUUACGUUUACAGCCAGGCACAGUGGCUCAUGCUUGUGAUCCCAGCACUUUGGGAGGCCAAGGUGGGCAGAUCACCUGAGGUUGGGAGUUUGAGACCAGCCUGACCAACAUGGAGAAACCCCGUCUCUACUAAAAAUACAAAAGUAGCAGGGCAUGGUGGCAUGUGCCUGUCAUUCCACCUACUCAGGAGGCUGAGGCAGAAGAAUCUCUUGAACCUGGGAGGGAGAGGUUGCAGUGAGCCAAGAUCGCGCCAUUUUACUUCAGGCUGGGCAACAAGAGCAAAACUCUGUCUCAAAAACAAGGGUUACA